rnacentral:lncRNA from 1 species
AUACAAUCAUGUCUGCAAAUACAGACAAUUUUACUUUCUCCUUUCCUAAUUGAAUAUGCUUUAUUUCUUUUUCUUGCAUGAUUGCUCUGGCUAGAACUUCCAAUACUAUACUGAAUAGGAGUGAUGAGAGAGGGCAUCCUGGCCUAGUGCCAGAUUUCAAAGGGAAUGCUUCCAGUUUUUGCCCAUUCAGUAUGGUAUUGGCUGUGGGUUUGUCAUAAAUAGCUUUUAUUAUUUUGAGAUACAUUCCAUUGAUUCCUAGUUUCUUGAGAGUUUUUAGCAUAAAGGGCUGUUGAAUUUUCUUGAAGGCCUUCUCUGCUUCUAUUGAGAUAAUUACGUGGUUUUUGUUUUUGGUUCUGUUUAUGUGGUGGAUUACAUUUAUAGACUUGCGUAUGUUGGACCAGCCUUGCAUCCUGAGAUGAAGCCUACUUGACAGUGAUCAAUAAGCUUUUUGGUGUGCUGUUGCAAUUGGUUUGAUGUGCCAGUAUUUUAUUGAAGAAUUUUGCGACUAUGUUCAUUAUAGAUAUUGGCCUGAAGUUUCCUUUUUUUUGUUAAGUCUCUGCCAGUAUUUUAUUGAAGAUUUUGGUGUCUAUGUUCAUCAGGGAUAUUUUCCUGAAGUUUUCUUUUCUUGUUGAGUCUCUGCCGGGUUUUGGUAUCAGGAUGAUGUUGGUCUCAUAAAAUGAUUUGGGAAUGAUUCCCUCUUUUUGGAUUAUUUGAAAUAGUUUCAGAAGGAAUGGCAAUGGUUCCGCUUUGUGUGACUUGUAGAAUUUGGCUGUCAACUCAUCUGGACCUGGGCUUUGUGUGGUAGGCUCUUAAUUGCUGCCUCUGCUUCAGAUCUUGUUAUUGGUCUAUUCAUAGUUUCGACUUCUUUCUGGUUUAGGCUUGGGAGGACACAAGUGAUCAGGAAUUUAUCCAUUUCUUCCAGAUUUACUAGUUUAUGUGCCUAGAGUUGUUUGUAAUAUUAUCUGAUGAUGAUUUGAAUUUCUGUGGAAUCUGUGGUGAUUUCCCUUUUGUCGUUUUAUAUUGCAUCUAUUUGGUCGUUCUCUCUUUUCUUUUGUAUCAGUCUGGCUAGUGGCAUGUCUAUUUUGUUGAUCUUUUCAAAAAACCAGCUCCUGAAUUUAUUGAUUUUUUGAAGGGUUUUUCAUGUCUCUAUCUCCUUCAGUUCUGCUCUGAUCUUAGUUAUUUCUUGUCCUCUGCUAGCUUUUGAGCUUUUUUUAUCUUGCUCCUCUAGCUCUUUCAAUUUUGA